CAAUAGAGACUUAUGCAGAAGAAUUAGUAUGUAGCCGGGACAAACAUCAGGUCCUACAGCACUUGGGGUUCCAGUGCUCCAGCAACUGUGUUUAGCUGGAAGCGAAGUAGCAGUGGGCUUGUUGACUUGAAGGCCUGGCAGCUAAGGUUGGAAAAGACUCAGGAGUCUCCAUACCUUAUUGUAACUGAAUGUGCCACCUUUAACUGGCUGUACCUGGAACCCUUAACAAGGCUGAUACUGGCUCGGAAGAAGAGGGUGGAGGAUGAGACCUGAUGAGGAUGGCUGUUGCUAACAGAUGAGGGAGGAUCACUGUCUCCUCAGCCCAUCACACAGGUUCUAAAGAAUUUGGCAGACAUUUUUGUUAGUUGUGACUGUUGUCUGUGCCUUUUGGGAAGUGCUGAAGUUCUAUGAGAAUAGCCAAUUCCUGAGCCAGCAGAAGCCUAGAAAGCAUUUGGAAUCUUGUGAGAAAAUCUGAUCUGGCAAGAUAUCCAGGCUGACUUCCCAACAAAAGUCGUCUGGACAAACCCCAGAGAGUUUCAGGGCCAGGCCACAGUUUUUCUUCACUGCUUUUUAAGGACACCUCUUUAAUGGCUCCUGAUCAUUUUGAGGCGCACUCUCUCAGUCUCAGUCCCUUGAAGGCACUUCUCUCUCCAGUCACGAAGAGGCAAGGGGGGUCCCGGCUAUGCUUCCAACCCUUGGCACGUGUGGAGGGAGUGGAGGCGAGCGCAGCACCAGAGAAGAGGCUGGAGGCAGCAGGCACCAUGGCACACGAGAACAUGCUGACCGCCGGGGAGCAGGUACAAGGACUCACCCCAUCCUAGUGGACAGAAGAAGAGAAUGAAGGAGAACCUUUCUUGACCCACUGGCCUCCCAGCCCCUCAUGGAGCUCAGGACUGAUGUGGUAAAAAUGCUGACGAUGUAGAGACAUGUCUAUGCUAUAGCCUCUACUGGAACUGAUACCCCAGCAAUUGUUUUGAAUUUUGAUGAAAUUCUGUUGUUUAUGUGGGCCUUUCACAUUGCAACAGGGGAAAACUAUUGAAAGAAAUAGGAGAACAUGAUUGUAAACCUACAUUUUAAUGGAUUACAUUUAAAGUUGAUAAUGUCCCCUUUUAAAAAUAUAUUAAUUCUUUAAAUUACUAAAGUGAGGAAGUUUAACAUUCUAUUAAUGAUUCAUUCUCUGUUUAUGCUGCUUGCUCUUCAUCUUGGGCAAUAGAGAUAAUCUGUUUCAUUUAUGCUUAUUAAAGAUGGUUUAAUUUCUUGCCAACUACUGACUGGUGCAAUGAUGCAACAUUUGGGUUGCAAAUGCUGCAGGGGAGUGUUAAUUUGUGUUAACAACAAAAUUCUUUCCACUGGUAUUUAAAAUAAUCCUGGAUACUUCAAGUUGUCGAAGUGUUGUAAAUACUUUGUUUUUACAAAACCUAAACUUAUUUUUGUUUUAGACCGGCCAUAAUUGCUCUUCAUGUCAGAUCUGAUCACCAAUUUACAAGCCAAGGGCAAGUUUUUCAAGCUGCCCAGGUUCGCAGCUCCAUAUUGUGAUUGCCGCUAUUGGUUCCUGUUGAUUUAAAUUGAAAUCUUUUGCUACAGGUCCUUUAUCUCUUAAGUAGCUCUACAUUUUUCUUCCCUUCAGGUUUGUAUGAAGCAGAGAAUGGGAUCAUUUACAAAGAGUCACCCUAUCUUGCUAGCCAGUGGAAGAAGGAACAGGAUUCUUUAAAACCUUGCACCUUGUGCAAUAUUUUUAUUAUUUAAUUAAUAUUAAUAUUUAAUAUUAAAAUUAAUAUUUUAAUAUUUGUGAAAAGUAAGAUAAAAGGAGACUACUGGUGUAAGUGGAGAAUUCUGAUGUUAAUAGUGUUUUACACUCCAGCAUGCACAUGGAUAAAUUCUCUUACAAAAUGCAAGAUGGUGGAGAAGGUGACAAUUUAAUCAUGUGGCUACUAGAGUGAUAAAUGUCAUCCAUUGGCUGAGUGGAAAAGAGUGGGAGGAGCCAAAGUACUAUAGUAUCUGCCAUUGAACUCUUGUAUUUGUGUUGCAGGGGAAGGGAUUUAUCAUUGCUGAUCAAAUUUGUAGUUAUAAACUUUUGAAGUAUUUUCUGAAUAGUGUUUUGUUUUGUGUUUUGUUUUGUUUACAGUGGUUGCC